rnacentral:rRNA from 1 species
AGAGUUUGAUCAUGGCUCAGGAUGAACGCUAGCUACAGGCUUAACACAUGCAAGUCGAGGGGAAACGACAUCGAAAGCUUGCUUUUGAUGGGCGUCGACCGGCGCACGGGUGAGUAACGCGUAUCCAACCUGCCCAUCACUUGGGGAUAACCUUGCGAAAGUAAGACUAAUACCCAAUGAUAUCUCUAGAAGGCAUCUGAAAGAGAUUAAAGAUUUAUCGGUGAUGGAUGGGGAUGCGUCUGAUUAGCUUGUUGGCGGGGUAACGGCCCACAAAGCAACGAUCAGUAGGGGUUCUGAGAGGAAGGUCCCCCANAUUGGAACUGAGACACGGUCCAAACUCCUACGGGGAGCA